rnacentral:rRNA from 1 species
UACAGAGGUCUCAAGCGUUGUUCGGAAUCACUGGGCGUAAAGGGUGCGUAGGUGGCGCGGUAAGUCAGAUGUGAAAGCCCGGGGCUCAACCUCGGAAUUGCAUCCGAUACUGCCGUGCUUGAGUACUGGAGAGGUGACUAGAAUUCUAGGUGUAGCAGUGAAAUGCGUAGAUAUCUAGAGGAAUACCAAAGGCGUAGGCAGGUCACUGGACAGUUACUGACACUGAGGCACGAAGGCCAGGGGAGCAAACGGG